rnacentral:rRNA from 1 species
UUAUGGACAGAACUGUGGGGACGCAGAAGGAGAGCACGAGCCGGAAAUGGAAAAGCCGGUACAAGCGUAUAGCAGUCAUGCAGGCAAAACCGCAUGAAAAAUGUAAAGCGUUAUGUGGAUCGAACAUUAGUAGAGAAGCGUGUGAGCCAGCUGCCAAGAAAAGCCGCUAUUGCUUCAUAAGUACCCGUACCGUAAACCGACACAGGUGGAUGAGGAGAGAAUCCUAAGGCCGGCGGGAGAAGUGUUGUUAAGGAACUCGGCAAAAUGACUCCGUAACUUCGGGAGAAGGAGUGCCACAGAGAUGUGGCCGCAGAGAAAUGGCCCAAGCAACUGUUUAGCAAAAACACAGGUCUAUGCAAAACCGAAAGGUGAGGUAUAUGGGCUGACGCCUGCCCGGUGCUGGAAGGUUAAGAGGAGAGGUUAGAGCAAUCGAAGCUUUGAAUUUAAGCCCCAGUAAACGGCGGCCGUAACGAUAACGGUCCUAAGGUAGCGAAAUUCCUUGUCGGGUAAGUUCCGACCCGCACGAAAGGCGUAAUGAUUUGGGCACUGUCUCAACAACACACCCGGUGAAAUUGAAAUACCAGUGAAGAUGCUGGUUACCUGCGCCAGGACGGAAAGACCCCAUGGAGCUUUACUCCAGUUUGAUACUGGGAUUCGGUACUGUCUGUACAGGAUAGGUGGGAGGCUAGGAAAUGGUGACGCCAGUUGCCAUGGAGCCAACCUUGGGAUACCACCCUUACAGUACUGGGUUUCUAACCUGCAGCCGUGACCCGGCUGGGGGACAAUGUCUGACGGGGAGUUUGACUGGGGCGGUCGCCUCCGAAAGAGUAUCGGAGGCGCUCAAAGGUUCCCUCAGAACGGUUGGAAACCGUUCGAAGAGUGCAAAGGCAGAAGGGAGCUUGACUGCGACACCGACGGGUGGAGCAGAUACGAAAGUAGGACUUAGUGAUCCGGUGGUAUAAAGUGGGAUUGCCAUCGCUCAACGGAUAAAAGCUACCCUUGGGAUAACAGGCUUAUCACUCCCAAGAGUUCACAUCGACGGAGUGGUUUGGCACCUCGAUGUCGGCUCAUCGCAUCCUGGAGCUGUAGCAGGUUCCAAGGGUUGGGCUGUUCGCCCAUUAAAGCGGUACGCGAGCUGGGUUCAGAACGUCGUGAGACAGUUCGGUCCCUAUCCGGCGUGGGCGUAGGAUAUUUGAGAGGAGCUGUCCUUAGUACGAGAGGACCGGGAUGGACAAACCUCUGGUGUAUCUGUUGUUUUACCAAAGGCAUGGCAGAGUAGCCAAGUUUGGCAGGGAUAAACGCUGAAGGCAUCUAAGCGUGAAGCCCCCCUCAAGAUAAGAUAUCCCAUCUUCGGAGUAAGACCCCUUGAAGACUACAAGGUUGAUAGGCUUCAGGUGUAAGUGUGGUAACGCACUCAGCUGAGAAGUACUAAUAGGUCGAGGACUUAUU